rnacentral:rRNA from 1 species
GUGACCUCAAAUCAGGUAGGACUACCCGCUGAACUUAAGCAUAUCAAUAAGCGGAGGAAAAGAAACUAACAAGGAUUCCCCUAGUAACUGCGAGUGAAGCGGGAAAAGCUCAAAUUUAAAAUCUGUCAGUCUUUGACUGUCCGAGUUGUAAUCUAGAGAAGUGUUAUCCGCGCUGGACCGUGUACAAGUCUCCUGGAAUGGAGCGUCAUAGAGGGUGAGAAUCCCGUCUUUGACACGGACUGCCAGGGCUUUGUGAUGCGCUCUCAAAGAGUCGAGUUGUUUGGGAAUGCAGCUCAAAAUGGGUGGUAAAUUCCAUCUAAAGCUAAAUAUUGGCGAGAGACCGAUAGCGAACAAGUACCGUGAGGGAAAGAUGAAAAGAACUUUGGAAAGAGAGUUAAACAGUACGUGAAAUUGCUGAAAGGGAAACGCUUGAAGUCAGUCGCGUUGUCCAGGGAUCAACCUUGCUUUUGCUUGGUGUACUUUCUGGUUGACGGGUCAGCAUCAAUUUUGACUGUUGGAAAAAGAUCAAGGGAAUGUGGCAUCUUUAGAUGUGUUAUAGCCCUUGGUUGCAUACAAUGGUUGGGAUUGAGGAACUCAGCACGCCGCAAGGCCGGGAUAUUAUCCACGUACGUGC